rnacentral:lncRNA from 1 species
GCAAUGUUUUGAAAACCGGACCGGACCGGCCGGUUCGACCGGUUCAACCGCGAACCGCUGCCAUGUCCGGUCCGGUUAGUUGUGAAAACCCGAAAAGCCCAAAAACCCGGUUCAACUGCCAAAAUUCCGGUUCGACCGGUAAAAACCGGUUAACCCGGAACCCAGGCCGAAAACCGGUUUUCAGCUCAAAAAAAAAUUUAUGGUUGGAUCUUCGUCAAUGGUGGUCGUUGGUGAUAGAAUCUUGUCGAAAAAGUUUGUUGGUAAACGGAUCUGGGUAGUAUGUGACCCAGUCCAAGUUGUUGGUGGCCGCCAUAGCUUUCCAUCGAAGAAACGAAAACGAAGAAGGUGAAAGUGAAAAUGAUGAAAAAAAGGAAAAAAUAAGUUGAGGAAAUAGAGUAUAUGUUUGGGUGGAAAUUAUGAUAAUUAAGAAUAAACAACAAUGAAAAAGAGAAGAAAAUGAGAAGGGGAUGGGGAUCUGUGAAGACGGGAGGAAGAAGAAAGGAGGGAGAGAGAGGGGAAGAGGAGAGAGAGAGAGAGAGAGAGAGAGAGAGAGAGAGAGAGAGAGAGAGAGAGAAAGAGAGAGGG